rnacentral:rRNA from 1 species
UGGGGAAUAUUGCACAAUGGGCGCAAGCCUGAUGCAGCCAUGCCGCGUGUAUGAAGAAGGCCUUCGGGUUGUAAAGUACUUUAAGCGGGGAGGAAGGUGUUGAGGUUAAUAACCUCAGCAAUUGACGUUACCCGCAGAAGAAGCACCGGCUAACUCCGUGCCAGCAGCCGCGGUAAUACGGAGGGUGCAAGCGUUAAUCGGAAUUACUGGGCGUAAAGCGCACGCAGGCGGUCUGUCAAGUCGGAUGUGAAAUCCCCGGGCUCAACCUGGGAACUGCAUUCGAAACUGGCAGGCUAGAGUCUUGUAGAGGGGGGUAGAAUUCCAGGUGUAGCGGUGAAAUGCGUAGAGAUCUGGAGGAAUACCGGUGGCGAAGGCGGCCCCCUGGACAAAGACUGACGCUCAGGUGCGAAAGCGUGGGGAGCAAACA